rnacentral:lncRNA from 1 species
CAUUUAGUUCAUGGAUAUGAGAUUUGGCGUAUGGUUCAUAGAUUUGGUUUAUGGACUUGGUUCAUGGUUCAUGAACUUGGUUCAUGGUUUAUGAGGUUGGGUAUAUGGUUCAUGAGCUUUGAGAUUUGGUUCAUGGUCUAUAGGAUUUGGUUCAUGAACUUGGGUAUGGUUCGUGGAUUUGGUUUAUGGUUCAUGGGUAUGGUUCAUGAGGUUGGGUAUGUGGGAUUUGGUUCAUGAUUCAAGGAAUUUGGUUCAUGAACUUGGGUUUCUGAUUUUUGGAUCAUGGUUCGCGAACUUGGUUCAUUUGGUUCAUGAACUUGAUUUAUAGUUCAUGAGAUUUUGGUAUGGUUUGGUUCAUGAGAUUUGGUGUAUGGGAUUUGUUUCAUGAACUUGGAUGCGAUUCAUAGAUUUGGUAUGUGAACUUGGGUUUCUGAUUUUUGGAUCUUGGUUCAUUUGGUUCAUGGAUUUGGGUUUUUGAUUCUUGAACUUGGGUUUCGAUUUGGUUCAUGACUCAAGGAAUUUGGGUUUUUGAUUCUUGAACUUGGGUUUCAAUUUGGUUCAUGAUUCAAGGAAUUUGGGUUCAUGAGUCUAAGUUGGAAGUUGGGUUCGGGUUGUAUUUGUGGUUCGGAUUGGAUUUGAGUUUGGAUUUAUUUGUAGACUGGAUUGGAUUUGAGUUUGGGUCUUUAUUUGUGCACUUGAUCGGAUUUGGGUUUAGAUUUUUAUGUGGACUUGAUUUGGGUUUUGGGUUUAGGUUUGGAUUUGGGUUUUGGGUUUAGGUUUGGAUUUUUAUCUGGACUUGGUUUCAGUUUGGGUUUGAUUUGGGUUGUAUUUGUAGACUUGAUUUGGAUUUGAGUUUGAUUUGGGUUGGGUUUUGUAAUAUACCAGAUUUUGGUAUAAAAAUAAUAAUAAAUAAAAAUAGUGUGAGAAACUAUUUUUAUUAGAUUUAUAGAGGUAAAACAUAAGUCAGAAUUGACUUGUGCUGAAAUCGGAAUGAAAACAGAAGAUCUAGAAUUUUCUGUUGGAGACGGGACAGAAAAAUAAGCAGAAAAUGCACAGUCUCAGAAAAUUAUGAAAAUUGGCGGAGAUGUCAGAAAUAUUUUUAUGAGGCUAGAUUUAAGGUUUCAUAUUUUUCUGACACCCAUAGAGUGAGAAAUAAAAUCCGAAAGCUAUCUGAUAAAGAUUGCAGUUCGGUACAGUUUUCAGUGACCAAAUGGGGUCGAAACUGAACCAGUGAUCGUCAGCUUGUUAAGUUAAGUAAAACCGAACAUGACUGUCAAGUUUGAGCUCAAACGGAGAUUCAGGGAGCUCCG